AUUGAACGCUGGCGGCAGGCCUAACACAUGCAAGUCGAGCGAGAGGCGGAGGGGCGAGUAAUGUAGGGGGAUCUGCCCGAUAGAGGGGGAUCACGACUGGAAACGGUGGAUAAUACCGCAUACUAUCGGAUGAACCCAUAUUGGAGUAGCUAGUAGGUGGGGUAAAGGCGCAUCUCGGCGACGACCUCUAGCUGGUCUGAGAGGAUGAUGAGCCACACUGGGACUGAGACACGGCCCAGACUCCGACGGGAGGCAUCAGUGGGGAAGAUUGCACAAUGGGCGCAAGCCUGAUGCAGACAUGCCGCGUGUAGGAAGAAGGCCUUAGGGUUGUAAAGUACUUUCAGCGGGGAGGCGUUACCCGCAGAAGAAGCACCGGCUAACUCCGUGCCAGCAGCCGCGGUAAUAC
rnacentral:rRNA from 1 species